rnacentral:piRNA from 1 species
UCCACGGAAUUCUGAGGAGACGUCUCCA